UCUUCAACGACCGACCGGCGGCUCUUCGCGUCCUUCUCCCCCGGACGGCAACCUACGCGGCUCCGGUCACCGACUCACAGUCACCGGUUUUGAGAGUUAGAAGAUGCAAGGAUGUUCUUCUACAGUUUUCUAUUAUGGAA